UAGAUACUCCCUUCGUCCGGAAAUACUUAUCUGAGGAAUGGAUGUAUUUAGAUGUAUUUUAGUUCUAGAUAGACCAUUUGUAUUCAUUUCUAUGACAAGUAUUUCCGACCAGAGGGAGUAUGUG
rfam:Triticum urartu cultivar G1812 contig380723, whole genome shotgun sequence.